rnacentral:rRNA from 1 species
AUUAGCUUGUUGGCGGGGUAACGGCCCACCAAGGCGACGAUGGGUAGGGGUUCUGAGAGGAAGGUCCCCCACAUUGGAACUGAGACACGGUCCAAACUCCUACGGGAGGCAGCAGUGAGGAAUAUUGGUCAAUGGGCGGGAGCCUGAACCAGCCAAGUAGCGUGAAGGAUGACGGCCCUACGGGUUGUAAACUUCUUUUAUAAGGGAAUAAAGUUCGCCACGCGUGGUGUUUUGUAUGUACCUUAUGAAUAAGCAUCGGCUAAUUCCGUGCCAGCAGCCGCGGUAAUACGGAAGAUGCGAGCGUUAUCCGGAUUUAUUGGGUUUAAAGGGAGCGUAGGCGGGCUUUUAAGUCAGCGGUCAAAUGCCACGGCUCAACCGUGGCCAGCCGUUGAAACUGCAAGCCUUGAGUCUGCACAGGGCACAUGGAAUUCGUGGUGUAGCGGUGAAAUGCUUAGAUAUCACGAAGAACUCCGAUCGCGAAGGCAUUGUGCCGGGGCAGCACUGACGCUGAGGCUCGAAAGUGCGGGUAUCAAACAGGAUUAGAUACCCUGGUAGUCCGCACGGUAAACGAUGAAUGCUCGCUAUGGGCGAUAUAUUGUCCGUGGCC